rnacentral:rRNA from 1 species
GCAAGUCGAACGAUGAUUAUCUAGCUUGCUAGAUAUGAUUAGUGGCGGACGGGUGAGUAACAUUUAGGAAUCUGCCUAGUAGUGGGGGAUAGCUCGGGGAAACUCGAAUUAAUACCGCAUACGACCUACGGGUGAAAGGGGGCGCAAGCUCUUGCUAUUAGAUGAGCCUAAAUCAGAUUAGCUAGUUGGUGGGGUAAAGGCCCACCAAGGCGACGAUCUGUAACUGGUCUGAGAGGAUGAUCAGUCACACCGGAACUGAGACACGGUCCGGACUCCUACGGGAGGCAGCAGUGGGGAAUAUUGGACAAUGGGGGCAACCCUGAUCCAGCCAUGCCGCGUGUGUGAAGAAGGCCUUUUGGUUGUAAAGCACUUUAAGCAGGGAGGAGAGGCUAAUGGUUAAUACCCAUUAGAUUAGACGUUACCUGCAGAAUAAGCACCGGCUAACUCUGUGCCAGCAGCCGCGGUAAUACAGAGGGUGCGAGCGUUAAUCGGAAUUACUGGGCGUAAAGCGAGUGUAGGUGGCUCAUUAAGUCACAUGUGAAAUCCCCGGGCUUAACCUGGGAACUGCAUGUGAUACUGGUGGUGCUAGAAUAUGUGAGAGGGAAGUAGAAUUCCAGGUGUAGCGGUGAAAUGCGUAGAGAUCUGGAGGAAUACCGAUGGCGAAGGCAGCUUCCUGGCAUAAUAUUGACACUGAGAUUCGAAAGCGUGGGUAGCAAACAGGAUUAGAUACCCUGGUAGUCCACGCCGUAAACGAUGUCUACUAGCCGUUGGGGUCCUUGAGACUUUAGUGGCGCAGUUAACGCGAUAAGUAGACCGCCUGGGGAGUACGGCCGCAAGGUUAAAACUCAAAUGAAUUGACGGGGGCCCGCACAAGCGGUGGAGCAUGUGGUUUAAUUCGAUGCAACGCGAAGAACCUUACCUGGUCUUGACAUAGUGAGAAUCCUGCAGAGAUGCGGGAGUGCCUUCGGGAAUUCACAUACAGGUGCUGCAUGGCUGUCGUCAGCUC